GACGAACGCUGGCGGCGUGCUUAACACAUGCAAGUCGAACGGUAAGGCCCUGCUUUUGUGGGGUGCUCGAGUGGCGAACGGGUGAGUAACACGUGAGUAACCUGCCCUUGACUUUGGGAUAACUUCAGGAAACUGGGGCUAAUACCGGAUAGGAGCUCCUGCUGCAUGGGGGGGGUUGGAAAGUUUCGGCGGUUGGGGCUGGACUCGCGGCUUAUCAGCUUGUUGGUGGGGUAGUGGCUUACCAAGGCUUUGGCGGGUAGCCGGCCUGAGAGGGUGACCGGCCACAUUGGGACUGAGAUACGGCCCAGACUCCUACGGGAGGCAGCAGUGGGGAAUAUUGCACAAUGGGCGGAAACCUGAUGCAGCAACGCCGCGUGCGGGAUGACGGCCUUCGGGUUGUAAACCGCUUUCGCCUGUGACGAAGCGUGAGUGACGGUAAUGGGUAAAGAAGCACCGGCUAACUACGUG
rnacentral:rRNA from 1 species